AUGACAGACAAUAAACCUGAGCACAUGUCUGACAGAAGUCAUCUUUUAUUCUCCCUUCUCUGCAACAGGCGACUACACAGACUUUUACUCAUCGAGAGAUCAUGCCACCAAUGUUGGAAUAAUGUUCCGUGGAAAAGAAAACGCCUUGAUGCCCAACUGGCUGAGGCUGCCAGUGGGGUAUCAUGGGAGAGCUUCAUCUGUGGUCGUCUCUGGAGCACCAAUCAGAAGACCUCGAGGACAGAUGAGGCCGGACGCAGCUCAGCCGCCCAUCUUUGGACCCAGCAAGCAGCUAGAUAUAGAGUUAGAGAUGGCGUUCUUUGUGGGAAAAGGGAACAAGCUGGGAGAGCCCAUUCCAGUGGAGAAGGCUCACGAGCACAUCUUCGGCAUGGUGCUUAUGAAUGACUGGAGCGGUGAGAAAUAACAUCUGCAGUGCAUACUCUCCCAAAUCAUCUAAGAUCUUAUAUCAGCUUAUAUAAGCUAAAUAUUGCAACACAAGUGUGAAAAACAGCUGAAAUUUGAGAGUGAAAGAAAAAUGGCUGAAUUCCAUACUUUAGUAUUAUCAUGUAUCUAUACUGGAAUGAAGGACUUUUUUAAGAAGUUCACAUGUCAUUAAACCAAAUUAAGUACUUUACAUUGCAUUUUGCACUACCAUCUUGCCACAAAAAAACCUCAGUCUUGCUUUUCAUUUGUCUAGUCGUGUCCAAUCAAACACAAUGAAAUAGUAUUGUAAAUCUCAAUUUAUGAAUCAUAACACAACUUGGUUUCACUUGAGAGAAUUUUAAUUAUAUCUUGAAAGGUUUUUAAACUGUUCAGAGAAGCUUGGCACAGUGAGUCAGACGUGGCGGGAUCUAGAGGUGUUUCCUGGUCAGGCAAGAGUGCCAUUUCUGAGCAACAACCGCUGUUAAUUCUUUUAUUAGUCCUCUGUCUCUUUCUAAAACUCAGAUGGCUCCUUGUUGAGCACACUUAACACAUUGCAUUUUUAUGAGCCGUUAAGCAGACUUGGGAAAUGAGAAACACUUUUAGGGUGAGGAGGCAGAGGGAGAUGCUUGGUGAAGUGUGCAUGCCAAACUACGUCCGUUUACACAGCAUCUGCUUAGCUGUUCAGUUUCCUUUCACAGAAUGCUGUUUUGUGGCAAAGUAAAAUACACGUCGUCUGACUUUUAAUGGUUUGUGCCAAUCCAAUCAAAAAAUAUAAUCAGUAAGAAACCAUAAAAAUUCAAGAGAUGUUUGGAAACCAAAAUUGUCAAUUUAAAGGAUUUUUCACUCACUUUUGUAUACUUUUGUUUGCUUUUUAACCUAAAUGCAUUUGCAUUAUUUUGCAUAUGCAUUACUGUAUUGCUCUGCUCUGCUGCAAAACUUGCAAAGUUAGAGAAAUAUUAUAUAAAAUAUUAAAAAAUUAAUUUGUUGAUAGCAAAAUGCAUCAAUAAGUUCUAAUUAAUUUUUUUGUUUUGUAAUAUAAAAAUUGCUAGUUGCAAUUUAACAUUUUAAUUUACUAUUUUGCCCAAUAUUUUUGUGUGUUUAUUUUAGGACUGCAACAACUAAUUGAUUAAAUCGAUAAUAAUCGAUAAUGAAAAUAAUCGACAAUGAAUGUCAUUAUCGAAUAGUCGCAUCUGCCCACCACGCAUGGAAAACUUCCGCCAGUCACAUCAAAUUACAGCAGUGACUAAUGCAUUUCUAUGAACGAAAUGCAUCUAAAAAUAGUGGAUGAAACUGCUGCGGGAAAGAUGCAUGAUCCAAACUGCCCGAAACAUGAGAAUUUUUAUUUUAAACUUCAAGCUAAUACAUAGCAUAGUGCCAGUUGAACACAAUGUAAGACGUUUCUUACAUUUACAGAAUAAGGAAAUAACAGAAACUAAAUCAGAAUUAAUCGGAAAAAUAAUCGGCCGACUAAUCGAUUAUCAAAAUAAUCAUUAGUUGUAGCCCUUGUUUAUUUACUUUUGUACUUUUUAUGUAUUUUAUAUUUGCUAUUAUUUUUCACAUGCAUUAAAUUUUUGCUCUGCUCUGUUGCAAAACUUUGAAAACUAAGAAAAGUAAGAGAAAUAGGCUAUUAUAUAUAAAAAUUUUAAUGUUCAGUAUUAAUAUGCAUCGAUAAGUUGCAAUUAAAAAAUGACUACUUGCAAUUUUAAAAAUGUACUAUUUUUCCCAAUAAUUGUGCAUGUUUAUUUACUUUUUAUGUAUUUUAUAUUUGCCGUUAUUUUGCACAUGCAUUACUGUCUUGCUCUGUUGCAAAACUUUGUGACCUACAUAGCACUGCAUGCAUGACAGACAAAUCGAUAGAAAUAUUAUAUUAUAUAGUAAACAUUUUUCAUCAUUUGUUCAAACUUAAAAUGCAUCACUAAGUAUCACAAAAUGCAUCAAGAAGCAAUUUACAAAUGUAAUAUUUUGCCCAAUAUUUUUGUGUAUUUAUUUACUUUUGUGCUUUUUAUGUAUUUUAUAUUUGCCAUUAUCUUGGACAUGCAUUUGUGUUUUCGUUUCAAUGACAAACUGUCUCAGGAAUGCUUAUGGCUUUUUUGGCUGCUUCCUUCCAGUAUUUUACUUUACUAUUCUAGUUGUUUUCCUUUCCCUUGUUCUUUUAGUUUUUUUUUUUUUUUUUUAUCUCUUUUCUCCUCCAAAGUUCCUUCCUCACCAGAAGCGAGUCCCAGUUCUCGUUUGAAACACAUUCCUCAGAAAUGCUGCAUGUCUUCUAGCGAGAGUCUGUCAGAAUUAUGCAGAGGGUAGAUAUCUGAGUACAGCUCCAGAAUAUCUUGUGCUGUUUGGAAGAGUUCAUGCAGAGCGACGACGUCUUGAUGGUGUGUAGUGGCAUCUCUAUGGCAUCUGCUCUGCGUAAGGCUGUGAGAAAUAAUCUGAUGCAUCAGUCUGGAUGAGAUUUCUAGAAAAAUUUAUGGAUUUGAAACGCAAUGAAUAAAAAAAGAAAUGAGACGGAUAAAGAAUGUCAAUGCUGUGAGGCUGCAGACUUUUUGAAAACUUGCAGUUUCAAAUUCAAUAAUCUCGCCAAAUGUGACUGAAUUUAUUUGUCUGGACAAAAGCUUUAUUGGGCUUAUUUUGCCAGCAAAUUUUGGUUUGGAAAAUCUAAUUAUAUUGCACUGUAAUGUAUUAUGCUGAAGUGUGAAAUUUAACACUACAGCAAAUUAUUCCUUAAAUGAAUCAAAUCGUAGAGUUUAUCACUAAGAUAAGGCUCUUACACACUGUUGCAACUACAUAUUCAGCAUUUUGAGGGAUCAUAUGAACACUUCAACUACACAGGCUGAUCCACAAUGUUCAAAGAUACCUUUUUUAAGUCAAACUGUAAGGCAGCAUUGCAUGUGUGACAGACAAAGUGAGAGAAGUAUUAUAUAUUAUAUCUAUUAUAUAUAUAGAAAAAAUAAGAUUAAUUAAUUACCACAAUACAUCAGUAAAACUAGUUUUUAAUUUAAAAUUUGGUCAGUAUCUGUGUGUAUUAUGUAACUCUAGCACACUCUAUUAUAAUUCUAUUUAAAAAAAAAAAAAAAAACUUAGUACCCCUUUUCGGACUUGCACUCUGUUCAUUUACUAACUGCUUGUUAGCUAGCUUCUCAAUUUUUUUGUUAUUCUAUUUGUAUUUCUUUUUAUUUUGUGUACCCUGGACUACAAAACCUAAAAAAGUACUACAAAAGUCGUUAAAAAAAAUACUAAAACUAAAUAAUACUAAUACAAUUUUAA
rnacentral:lncRNA from 1 species